rnacentral:rRNA from 1 species
AUACGGAGGGUGCAAGCGUUGCUCGGAAUCACUGGGCGUAAAGCGUACGCAGGCGGCGUACUAAGUCGGGUGUGAAAGCCCAGGGCUCAACCCUGGAACUGCAUUCGAAACUGGUACACUUGAGUAUGGGAGAGGUAAGCGGAAUUCCUAGUGUAGAGGUGAAAUUCGUAGAUAUUAGGAGGAACACCAGCGGCGAAGGCGGCUUACUGGCCCAAUACUGACGCUCAUGUACGAAAGCGUGGGGAGCAAACAGGAUUAGAAACCCUAGUAGUCC